UACGUAGGGUGCAAGCGUUGUCCGGAAUUAUUGGGCGUAAAGAGCUCGUAGGCGGUUCGUCGCGUCUGCUGUGAAAACUCGGGGCUUAACUCCGGGCCUGCAGUGGGUACGGGCAGACUAGAGUGCGGUAGGGGAGACUGGAAUUCCUGGUGUAGCGGUGAAAUGCGCAGAUAUCAGGAGGAACACCGGUGGCGAAGGCGCCACUCUGGGCCGGUACUGACGCUGAGGAGCGAAAGCGUGGGGAGCAAACAGG
rnacentral:rRNA from 1 species